AGCGAACGCUGGCGGCAGGCCUAACACAUGCAAGUCGAACGAACCUUUCGUGGUUACUUGCUGACGGGUGAGUAACACGUCGGAACGUGCCUUUAUGCUCCGAAUAACUCAGGGAAACUUGUGCUAAUACCGAAUGUGCCCUUCUAGGGCAAGAUUAAUCGCCUCUAGAGCGGCCCGCGUCUGAUUAGCUAGUUGGUUUUGGUAAUGCCUCACCCAGGCGACGUUCAGUAGCUGGUAUGAGAGGAUGAGCAGCCACAUUGGGAGGGAGACACGGUCCAAAAUCCUACGCGAUGCAGCAGAGCCGAAUCUUGCGAAACCGGCGAAAGGCUGACGGAGCCAGGCUGGGUGAAUGCUGUAGGUCGGAGGAAUGUAAAAUUCUUUCAUCGGGGACGAUAAUGACGGUACCCGGAGAAGAAGCACCGGCUAACUUCGUG
rnacentral:rRNA from 1 species